UGUAUGCUCCCUUGGUCCCUGUCGAUAGGUGGAGUUUUGACAACGGAUCUGAUUGCUGUAAAUAGCUUAAGUGAAGACUUGUGGCAUUAGAUCUGUUGGCGGAUGGCUUCAACCAUGCCAAUGGACAGACAGGGCAAAAAAAACACUUUUUAUACGUGUCCCAAAUGGAACCCCAUAUAUAGUGCACUACUUGUGACCAGGGCCCAUAGGGAUCCAUUUGGGACACAGAAUUCGUCACUUUGUUUACAGUCAGUCUGUGGCAGGUUAGCUUAGCAUGUGAUGAUGACGAUGAUGUCACUUCAUGGCACGGCUUUGCUGCCUCGCAUGUUUUUUUAUCUUGGUUUAAAAGAUGACUGAGUUAUCAGAACUCUCUGACUGAGUUAUCGUAACUCUCUGACUGAGUUAUCGUAACUCUCUGACUGAGUUAUCAGAACUCUCUGACUGAGUUAUCGUAACUCUCUGACUGAGUUAUCAGAACUCUCUGACUGAGUUAUCGUAACUCUCUGACUGAGUUAUCGUAACUCUCUGACUGAAUGUGGAACACUACCAUUGCCCAGAACAUGCAGUUGGCUAGACGGUGACCGUGGGGAAAUAAUAUAGAAGUUUAUCCAUUCAACAUUUCUGAACUCUCUGACUGAGUUAUCGUAACUCUCUGACUGAGUUAUCAGAACUCUCUGACUGAGUUAUCAGAACUCUCUGACUGAGUUAUCGUAACUCUCUGACUGAGUUAUCAGAACUCUCUGACUGAGUUAUCAGAACUCUCUGACUGAGUUAUCAGAACUCUCUGACUGAGUUAUCAGAACUCUCUGACUGAGUUAUCAGAACUCUCUGACUGAGUUAUCAGAACUCUCUGACUGAGUUAUCCUAACUCUCUGACUGAGUUAUCCUAACUCUCUGACUGAAUGUGGAACACUACCAUUGCCCAGAACAUGCAGUUGGCUAGACGGUGACCGUGGUGAAAUAAUAUAGAAGUUUAUCCAUUCAACAUUUCUGAACUCUCUUGGAUAAAUUGAGCGUACGUAGUUACAGACGUCUUUAAAAACACCGUCGGAGAUGUCUGUAACAGGAAGUGACUAGCAUUAUAGUCAGUCAGGGAGGUCAUUCCAUUUCAAUUCAGAAAAUAAACCAUCAUUCCAAUUGCACAUUUUCCUCAUUGGGGAAAAAACAUGGGAGAGAAUAGUGUAUUUCUGUUUUACUUUGUGAAUGGACUGGAAUUGAAAGAGCAUUAGUCAGUCAAAUGACACAUUAAGUUCUUAUUUUCAACGUGUUCAAACUACAGAAUAAUGAUGCCCGCCGCUGUAGUGUUCUGGCCAAACCAACUUUAAAUCAAGUCAAAUGACACAUUAAGUUCUUAUUUUCAACGUGAUCAAACUACAGAAUAAUGAUGCCCGCCGCUGUAGUGUUCUGGCCAAACCAACUUUAAAUCAAGUCAAAUUACACAUUAAGUUCUUAUUUUCAACGUGAUCAAACUACAGAAUAAUGAUGCCCGCCGCUGUAGUGUUCUGGCCAAACCAACUUUAAAUCAAGUCAAAUUACACAUUAAGUUCUUAUUUUCAACGUGAUCAAACUACAGAAUAAUGAUGCCCGUCGCUGUUGUGUUCUGGCCAAACCAACUUUAAAUCAAGUCAAGUCUAAUUGUAUUUUUGUCACAUACACAUGUAUAGGAGAUGUUAUUGCGGUUGUAGUGACAUGCUUGUGCAACAGUGCAAUAAUAUCGAACGAUACACACAAUUUUAAAAGUGAAAGAAUGGAAUUAAGGA
rnacentral:lncRNA from 13 species